rnacentral:rRNA from 1 species
GAUGAACGCUGGCGGCGUGCCUAAUACGUGCAAGUCGAGCGAAUGGAUUAAGAGCUUGCUCUUAUGAAGUUAGCGGCGGACGGGUGAGUAACACGUGGGUAACCUGCCCAUAAGACUGGGAUAACUCCGGGAAACCGGGGCUAAUACCGGAUAACAUUUUGAACCGCAUGGUUCGAAAUUGAAAGGCGGCUUCGGCUGUCACUUAUGGAUGGACCCGCGUCGCAUUAGCUAGUUGGUGAGGUAACGGCUCACCAAGGCAACGAUGCGUAGCCGACCGGAGAGGGUGAUCGGCCACACUGGGACUGAGACACGGCCCAGACUCCUACGGGAGGCAGCAGUAGGGAAUCUUCCGCAAUGGACGAAAGUCUGACGGAGCAACGCCGCGUGAGUGAUGAAGGCUUUCGGGUCGUAAAACUCUGUUGUUAGGGAAGAACAAGUGCUAGUUGAAUAAGCUGGCACCUUGACGGUACCUACCAGAAAGCCACGGCUAACUACGUGCCAGCCGCCGCGGUAA